UAUUUCAAACCAAAUAGGCAUAUGGUUGACAUUAGACUUUGUGUUGCUAAUGCAUGGUGAAUUGCUUCAGAAUGCAUGCAUCUCGAUCUCUACUGUUAGCGAGGCCUAUGCAAAAAUACAUAUAAACCGAUUGACCCGAUCAGAUCCACCCGACUUUAUUGGGUUAAAAUUAUAAGCGGGUCAUCUAAAGAAAUUUCUCUCUCACUCUCACUCUCCCUCUUCGGUCGCAGCUCCAAGAAUAGCUUUGGCGUGGGUCUCCAACAGAGGUAAUUAUGAGCUCCUAAUAUUUGUGGAUUAAGCGGUUUUGCAACCAGAUAUAUAUAUGAAUGGAAAUGAAUUGGAGCAAACAAGAGCAGCAUGGAAGUGUUUUAAGUAAUAUGUUUCUAGAACAAAAAAUAUGUCAACAUGUUGUUAGGCAUUACUGACCAUGUAGGCUUCUCUCCUAUACUCCCCUAUUUGCAAACAUUAAUGUAUUUUCAUGGCCUUGAUUGACUGGUUAACCUAGUGGAAAGAAGUUUAAAACUGGCUUUAAAUUCUGUUAUAUUUAAUUGGUGAAUUGAAAUUUUUUGUUGUAGUUCUUCGUGUGCUGGUUUUAUCAAGUGAAUGGCCUUUUGUUGUAUA